rnacentral:rRNA from 1 species
UACGUAGGUCCCGAGCGUUGUCCGGAUUUAUUGGGCGUAAAGCGAGCGCAGGUGGUUUAAUAAGUCUGAUGUAAGAGGCAGUGGCUCAACCAUUGUGUGCAUUGGAAACUGUUAGACUUGAGUGCAGUAGAGGAGAGUGGAAUUCCAUGUGUAGCGGUGAAAUGCGUAGAUAUAUGGAGGAACACCGGUGGCGAAAGCGGCUCUCUGGACUGUCACUGACACUGAGGCUCGAAAGCGUGGGUAGCAAACAGG